rnacentral:misc_RNA from 1 species
UCUCUCUCUCUCUCUCUCUCAAGAAACCAAUUCCUUCUCCUCGAGAUUUCCAAUCCCCGGAAUCUCCUCUCCGAGAAGACCAAAGAAAUUAAAAAAGGAAUUUCAAAUCUCAGUCUGCCAAAUCUCUUACGCUUCUGUAACUGUAACAAGAAAAGAUAAUAAUAAUAAAUAAUAAUCCUAUGUUUUGAGCUAAAGCUUGCGUUGAGAUCCGUUGACUGUAAAGCUUACAGUCUUAGCUUUUACAGAUAUUAUUAUUGGGAUUUCAAGCGUUUUCAAAAUACAAAAUUAGGUUGGUAUGAAUGAAGAUGGUAUUCAAAUCGAAGAUAAAAUGGAUAGCUUUGUUAGUGCUGAUACUAUCGACGGGAUCUCUUGUCAUUCACCUCUCUAUAACCAAGUUCUCGAGCUCCAGUUUGGUAUCUUAUGCUCCAAAGAAGGAGUCCGGUCUCGAUUUCCCUCCUUUAUCAGAGACGCAGGUCAGCUUUGCAUUGAUUUUUUUUUUUGGCAUCUAUCUAUCCAUCUGUGUUCUAUUAUUUCGUCAUUUUGAUUAUGUGUUUUUGGUCAUUUGCAGAGUGUUGGAUAUAUUAGAAAUAAGAAGUUAUGGGGGGUUGUGAAGUCCUUAGAGUCAUUGCAGCCUUAUGCCAACCCAAGAAGCAGCUACCCAGUUCCAAAUGAAAAGAACAAUGGUUAUAUUUAUGCAAAAAUUUUUGGUGGAUUUGAGAAGAUAAGAUCUUCGAUCUGUGAUCUUGUCACCAUAUCCAGGCUUCUAAAUGCUACUCUUGUCAUUCCAGAGUUUCAAGAAAGUCUUCGUUCAAAAGGCAUUAGUAACAAAUUCAAGAGUUUUUCCUAUCUCUAUGAUGAGGAGCAGUUCAUUGCAUCGCUCAAAAAGGAUGUAAUCGUUGUGAAGAGCCUGCCUGACAAUUUGAAGGCAGCUAGGAAAAGGAAUGAGUUCCCAACAUUUAAGCCCAAAAGUACUGCUUCUCCAAAUUUUUAUAUCAAAGAAAUUCUGCCUAAGUUGAAGAAAGCCAAGGUUAUUGGAUUGGUGCUUGCUGAUGGAGGAUGCCUACAGUCAAUUCUUCCACCUAGCAUGUAUGAGUUUCAGAGGCUUCGAUGCAGAGUUGCGUUUCAUGCUCUCCAAUUUAGGCAGGAAAUUCAGUUGCUUGGUCACCAGAUGGUUGAUAGGUUAAGAGCAUGGGGUCAACCUUUCCUUGCAUUUCACCCUGGUUUGUUGAGGGACACAUUGGCAUAUCAUGGUUGUGCAGAACUUUUUCAGGACGUUCACACUGAACUCAUACAAUAUCGAAGGGCACAGUUGAUCAACCGAGGAAUCCUUAAUGAAGAACUUAGUGUAGAUUCACACUUGCAUAGAGAAAAUGGGUCAUGCCCUCUCAUGCCGGAAGAGGUUGGACUUCUCCUCCGAGCAAUUGGCUAUCCACCCAAAACUACAAUAUACAUGGCAGGUUCUGAAGCCUUUGGUGGUCAACGUGUUCUGAUCCCUCUUCGAGCCAUGUUUGCUAAUGUGGUAGAUCGCACUUCAGUGUGCAGCAAGCAAGAGUUGUUCAACUUGGUUGGUCCUGAGAGACCUCUUUCUGAAGAUUCCUUUCAAGUACCUCCUCCCAAAAGUGAGAAACAACUUAAAGAAGAGUGGAAGAGGGCAGGUCCUCGUCCUCGGCCUCUUCCUCCACCUCCAGACCGGCCCAUCUAUCAACAUGAGAAAGAAGGCUGGUAUGGUUGGAUCACUGAGACUGAAUCUGAACCAGACCCUUCACCAAUGGAUUUAAGAAGGCAGGCACACAGGUUACUCUGGGAUGCUCUUGAUUACAUCGUCUCUGUGGAAGCAGAUGUAUUUUUUCCUGGUUUUAAUAAUGAUGGAAGUGGGUGGCCAGAUUUCUCAAGCUUGGUCAUGGGACAGCGGCUAUAUGAAAGUGCUGCCUCUAGAACAUAUCGACCAGACUGGAAAGUCCUUGCAAAGUUUUUCAACAUUACCCGCAACGAUAUGUAUCAUCCCAAGCAUAAUUGGACACUCUCAGUGAGGGAACUUCUCAACAAAAGCUUGGGUGAAGAUGGCCUAAUCAGGCAAUCCCUUUUGUCGAAACCCUUGUCAUUUCUUUCGCAUCCCCUCCCUGAAUGCUCUUGUAGAAUUUCAUCUGCCGAGUUUCAAACUCCGCUAGAAGGUGUUGAUGGCCGAUACCUAUAUGGAGGUGAGGAUGAAUGCCCAGAAUGGAUGCAGCAUGGACAGGAAGCUGUUCCCUCAGAGUCAGUGGGGACAGAAGGUGCUAAAAAUGAUGAUAAUGAAUCUGAAUAUGAGAAUGAGGUGGUUCAAAAAGAACCUGAUGACACUGGUGGUCGGAGUAGUCUGACUCUGCCUAUGGAUCAGGAUGAUGAAUGGGACCCUAACGACUAGAAGUAGAUUUGGAAAUGAUAUUGACUUCUAUUGUGAAGUUGGUACUUGCUUUUUGGCCGUAUCUUCUGGAAUCAGAAAUUUUGGGGAAGAGAUGACAUUCGAAGAUCAUUUUCAUGUCACAGCUCCAACUUUGGGCACUUUGAGGGAAAUAAAUUCAGAUUUAUUCUUUCUUAGUAGAUUUUGAGGACUCAUUCAGUCACAGAAUCACGCAGCAUACUUUUUGAACACCACAGCAGCGAGAAUGAUCGAUGUGGUCCAGACUAGUUGAUUGCAGCCAGUAUUCAAAAUGAUCUUGCAUCAUUGAAGAUGUUUAAUCGUGGGGAGGCUGGAGCGGAUGUUGUAAUAUGGCAGCUUGAAGUCAGUUACACUUGAUCUUUUGAGUAGUGAUUUGUUCUGUUUCUUGUAAACCCCCAUUUCUUGCCAUGAGUGUAAAGUUGUCUCGAAAGGAAGUCAAUUAAGAUAAUUUUUUCAUUAUUAUAAUUAUAAUGCUGCUUCAUUGUUGACUCGAUGUACAGAAUUUUUCAUAUGCAGCAGUUAUAGCAUUGAUAUUGCAAAUUCAAGGGGUUGAAGAAAAUGCAGAUAGAAUAAGAUGGAAAAUGGUGAGGCACUUCAUUCAAG